UUACCGAGUUUACACUCCCAAACCCCAAUGUGAACGUUACCAAUCUGUUGCCUCGGCGGGAUUCUCUUGCCCCGGGCGCGUCGCAGCCCCGGAUCCCAUGGCGCCCGCCGGAGGACCAACUCCAAACUCUUUUUUUCUCUCCGUCGCGGCUCCCGUCGCGGCUCUGUUUUAUUUUUGCUCUGAGCCUUUCUCGGCGACCCUAGCGGGCGUCUCGAAAAUGAAUCAAAACUUUCAACAACGGAUCUCUUGGUUCUGGCAUCGAUGAAGAACGCAGCGAAAUGCGAUAAGUAAUGUGAAUUGCAGAAUUCAGUGAAUCAUCGAAUCUUUGAACGCACAUUGCGCCCGCCAGUAUUCUGGCGGGCAUGCCUGUCCGAGCGUCAUUUCAACCCUCGAACCCCUCCGGGGGGUCGGCGUUGGGGAUCGGCCCCUCACCGGGCCGCCCCCGAAAUACAGUGGCGGUCUCGCCGCAGCCUCUCCUGCGCAGUAGUUUGCACACUCGCACCGGGAGCGCGGCGCGGCCACAGCCGUAAAACACCCCAAACUUCUGAAAUGUUGACCUCGGAUCAGGUAGGAAUACCCGCUGAACUUAAGCAUAUCAAUAA
rnacentral:rRNA from 1 species